GUGGCCUGCGUCCAAGGUCAGCGUGACUUCGAUUUGGCCGACGCCCUCGAUGACCCCGAACCCACAAAGAAGCCAAGCUCGGAAAUACCACUCCUAGGUGUAGACGGCAAGAGCUGAACACAGGGCAUCCAGCAAACGUGGACUGC